ensembl:lncRNA
CUAGCGUGGGGCGGAACAGCGAGAGCGUGGAACCUGGGUCUCUGCAUGGUUUUGUGAAACAGAAUUCACCUCCUCUCUUUGGAAUAUUCCUGAGACAGAAAUAAACAGGAGGGUCAGAGCCCCUGCACUCUCACAUCUCUUCCUGACGGUGGCUGUCGUAUUUGUCUCUGGCUCAAUAACAAAUUACCCCUCAAACUCAGUGGCUUAGAACAGCAAACACUGGGUGUUUCCCAGUUCCUGUGGGUCAGGAAUUCAGGAGCAGCUGAACUGUGUGGUUUUGCCUCAGGGUCUCCCAAGAGUCUGCAGCCAGGACUUGGGCAAAGGCACAAUAUCCGUUCACACAGCUGCUAGAGAGACCUCCGUUCCCUGCUGUGGGACGUCUCCACAGUCUCCAGAAUCAACGACUGACAUCUCUACUUCACACAGCUUGUUUCUAACAAGCACAAGUUGUGGUGAAGAAUCCAUGAAAAACUGUGAAGUGCUGAGUCCCGGGCGUGGCACACGGCAGGUGCUCUGGCAAUGGUGCCUGUUUCUCAUCCUCUGUUUCAUUCUCCAAUCUCCACUCUUACAUGUGGGAUGAUGGUUCCGCUCUGGCCUAGAAGAUUCCUUCGUUCCAGAAAUCCUAAUUCACAGCAGGGCUGUAAAGGAUCCCUGGGAAACCAAGCUAGCCUGUUUCCUUCCAGCCUUCUCUGGCACCUAGAAACUUCAUCAGGAAUGCUUAGGAGAAACCUGGGGAGAGCCUGGGCAUCACCCCAGAACUGACAAUCCUCUAAGAGAGAGAAAGGAAGCCUUGCUUCCAGGGUCACACCAAAGCCUUAUUCUCUCUCUCCCUCUCCCUCUCUCUCUCUCUCUCUCUCUCUCUCUCUCUUUUUUUUUUUUUCUGUUUGGCUGUGCUGCAAAGCAUGUGGGAUCUCGGUUCCCUCACCAGGGAUCAAACCUGAGUCCCCUGUACUGGGAGCUCGAAGUUGUAACCACUGAACCACCAAGGAAGCUCUCUUAUUCGCUUUAUUGGAUUUCCCAGGUGAGUUGGGAGCUAGGGGCAGCAUGUGGGUGCGUGCAAAGUCACUUCAAUCGUGUCUGACUCUUUGCAACCCCAUGGACUGUAGCCCACCAAGCAUCUCUGUCCAUGGGAUUCUCCAGGCAAGAAUACUGGAGUGGGUUGCCAUUCCCUUCUCCAGGGAGUCUGCCUGAACCAGGGAUCAAACCCAAAUCUCUUACGUCUCCUGCAGUGGCAGGUUCUUUACCACUAGCGUCACCUGGGAAGCAGGAGUGAGUGAGUGAAAGUUGCUCAGUUGUGUCUGACUCUUGGCGACCCCAUGGACUAUAGAAUCCAUGGAAUUUUCCAGGCAAGAAUACUGGAGUGGGUAGCCAUUCUCUUCUCCAGGGGAUCUUCCCAACCCAGGGAUCGAACCCAGGGGCAGGGACAAAUUGUUGCUCCUGUACUACAGCUAGAGAGUGGACCCCACUUGUUGCAAUGAAAGGAAAGCCUGUGCAGCAAUGAAAACCUAACACAGCCAAAAAUAAAUAAAUAAAAGGGAAAAAAAAGUUGCAUCAAUCAUCCUAAAAACAUUCUGGUACGGAGACUUUCAGAGGAAGGCUGGAUCUUUUAAGAAUUAAAUAAGGGAAAGGCCUCGUUAGCCUGAAUAUAUAAUAAAUAACUCUAAACUGCUUCAAAGAAUUAAAUAUUCUUAUGAAAAUUGUUCUCUUAAAAAAUGAAAAGACUUGGGGAAAUAUGACAAUGUGUCUAAUUGUGAAGUAUGACCUGUUUAUUUGUGGUCAAUUAUCACUUUUUACUGGGUUUCCCCAGUUUAAAAAAAAUAAUCUGCCUGCAAUGCAGGAGACAUGAGAGACUCGGGCUUAAUCCCUGGGUUGGAAAGAAUCCCUGGAGAAGGACAUGGCAACCCACUGCAGUAUUCUUGCUUGGAGAAUUCCUUGGAUAGAGGAGCCUGGCAUGCUACAGCCCAUGGGGUCACAAAGAAUCAGACACGACUGAAGUGACUUAGCCUGAGGACAAAUCUUUUUAUAACCAGCCACGGUUAGCAUUCUUUUCCACAUUUUAGGGCUGGACAUAGAGGCGGGUCGGAGAAGGCAAUGGCACCCCACUCCAGUACUCCUGCCUGGAAAAUCCCAUGGACAGAGAAGCCUGGUAGGCUUCAGUCCAUGGGGUCACUGAGUCGGACAUGACUGAGCGACUUCACUUUUCACUUUUCACUUUCAUGCAUUGGAGAAGGAAAUGGCAACCCACUCCAGUGUUCUUGCCUGAAGAAUCCCAAGGAUGGGGGAGCCUGGUGGGCUGCUGUCUAUGGGGUCGCACAGAGUUGAACACGACUGACGUGACUUAGUAAAAAAAAAAAAAAAAAAAAUGGAGGUGGGUGGAAGAGUCUUAGUAAAAGGCGAAAUGAUGGGAUCAAGGUUUCUGGUCUCAUGUUCCUCCAAAGAAUUAGCACUCUCUCCAAAAUGCAUUUCUCUAGUGUUAACAAGACCAUAAAGUGAACGGGCUUCUAGGGUUUGUAAGAGGAUGCUGAAGUGGAAUCCUGGAAAUGAAGAGUCCCUGACUCCUCAGAAGAUUUUCUGGAAGUUCAGUCUUUAGUAUUACCUUUCUUUCUUGCUAUGGAAGAUUUAGAAACAUAAUUCUACUUCAGACUUCUUCAGACAGACUUGGAUGUAUAAGCUAUCAUCUUCUUUACUGUCUCCAUUGCAUCAUCAUGAAGUAACCAGACUUCUCUCCUGAUUCACAAGAAGCUGGGGCAUCAUUGGUUGAGGUUGGGGGGAAGGUGAGUUAUCUAAACUAUACUGAUACAAUGUGAGAAAUCAACUCUUUAUGCUUUUAAAAAAAUUAAUUUAUUUACUUUAACUGGAGGCUAAUUAGUUUACAAUAUCGUGGUGGUCUUUGCCAUGCAUUGACAUGAAUCAGCCACGGGGGUACAUGUGUCUCCCAUCCUGAAUCCCCACCCCCCUCCCCCCCCCACCCCAUCCCUCUGGGCUGUCCCCGGGCACUGGGUUUAAAUGCCCUGCUUCAUGCAUUGAACGUGCGCUGGUCAUCUGUUUUACAUAUGGUAAUAUACAUGUUUCAAUGCUAUCCUCUCAAACCAUCCCACCCUCGCCUUCUCCCACAGAGUCUGAAAGUCUGUUCAUAUCUGUGUUUCUUUUGCUGUCUUGUAUAUAGGCUCAUCAUUACCAUCUUUCUAAAUUCCAUAUAUACGCUAUAUUGGUGUUUCUCUUUAUGACUUACUUCACUCUGUAUAAUAGACUCCAGUUUCAUUCACCUCAUUAGAACUGACUCCAAUGCAUUCUUUUUUAUAACUGAGUAAUACUCCAUUGUGUAUAUGUACCACAACUUCCUUAUCCAUUCGUCUGCCGAUGGACAUCUAGGUUGCUUCCAUGUCCUGGCUAUUGUAAACAGUGUUGCAAUGAACACUGGGGUACACGAGUCUCUUUCAGUUCUGGUUGCCUCAGUGUAUAUGCCCUGCAGUGGGAUUGCUGGGUCAUAUGGCAGUUCUACUUACAGUUUUUAAAGAAAAUCACACUUUUCUCCAUGGUGGCUGUACUAGUUUGCAUUACCAACAGUGUAAGAGGGUUCCUUUUCUCCACACCCUCUCCAGCAUUUAUUGUUUGUAGACUUUUUGAUGGCAGCCAUUCUGACCAGCGUGAGAUGGUGAGAUGGUACCUCAUUGUGGUUUUGACUUGCAGAAAUCAACUGUGUAAAAAAUUUAUUUAUUUAUUUAUUUUUUGCUACAUCAGGCCUUAGUUGUAGGAAUCUUUCUUUGUGACUUGCCAGCUUAGUUGCCCAGUGGUGUGUGGGAUCUUAAUUCCCCAACCAGAGAUGGAACCCACAUCCCCUGCAUUGGAAGGUGGAUUUUUUUUUUUAAACAACAGAUUUAUUAUAUUACCAGUUUCCCUUGUGGCUCAGCUGGUAAAGAAUCCACCUGCAGUACAGGAGAUCUGGGUUCUAUCCCUGGGUUGGGAAGAUCCCCCUGGAGAAAGGAAAGGCUACCCACUUAAGUAUUCUGGCCUGGAGAAUUCCAUGGACUAUAUAGUCCAUGGGGUCACAAAGAGUCAGACACGACUGAGCAAUUUUCACUUUCACUUUAUCAUAUUAUGACUCUGUAGGUCAGAAGACUGACACAGGUCUCCCUGGGCUAACAUCAGGGUGUCAGAUGGGCUGUCUUCCUUUCUGGAGGGUCUAUCGAGAAUCUUGUUUUCCCAUCUGAGUUCUUAGGAAGGGAAAAGGUAUUCCUUACUUCCAGUCAGUUUCCCAUUCAUAGGCUUGCCCUUCACAGGUGUGCCCUAGAGGCGCCUAGCAGGUUUCCUCAAUCUAUCAGCUCACCUAUCAACACCUUUCCCCUGAACCAUUAAAUAGAACUAUUGGGUAAGUAACAACACAACUGUUUUGUCUUUUCAAAUCCUCUGCACUCUGCCAAGAUGGAGAAAAAAAUGGCAACCCACUCCAGUAUUCUUGCCUGGGAAAUCCCAUGGACAGAGGAGGUUGGUGGGCUACAGUCCAUGGGGCCACAAAGGGUCGGACACAGCAGUGAAUAUGCACGUUCAUGUUCAGAGACCAAGACCAAUUAGGAAGUUUUUGUAGAUGUCCAAUUAGGAGAUGAAGUCAGCUGGAUUUGUACAUGAUACCCUUCCAGAGUAGCUCAGAAAGAAAAAAAGAUUGUUUUCAGACAACUGCAUAAGUAAGUGCUAACCUAUUUUCGCAGACUGCUAAGUAAUCUUGGCCUGAUCCUUUGCUACCGUAACCAUCAUGCUAUUAAAUGGCAGAAGACUCAUUUGCAUAGUCUUAUUUAAGUGUUACAAACUCUCAAGAGUCAGGGAAAGUAUUUUUCACCUUCCAAUAGGACAUUAAGUUGAAUACAAAGAUAAGAUUGAGUCAUUCUUCUUUGUUUCCUUGCUUGCUCACUGUUUAUCUUCUUAUGCAAAGUAAAUCCCAGGAGAACAGGCUUGAGAACAUUGAUGGCUUUCCAGGGAAACAGUGCUUGUCCCAGAGUAGGCUCUUGGUGAAUAUAUUCUGAGUAAAUGAAAAAUAGAAAGACAGACAAAGUAAGGAAAAAGGAGGCAGAGGAAGAGAGAAAUGAGGGGAGAAAGGGGGAAGGAAAGAAAGAAAAAAAAGGAAGGAAG